AGAAUCAACGCUGGCGGCGUGCCUAACACAUGCAAGUCGAACGCGAAAGCCCCGCAAGGGGUAAGUAGAGUGGCAAACGGGUGAGUAACACGUGGGUGGCCUGCCUUCGAGUGGGGGAUAACGUCCCGAAAGGGACGCUAAUACCGCAUGACAUCCUGCUUUUGGAAAAGCGGAGAUCAAAGCCGGGAUCGCAAGACCUGGCGCUUGAAGAUGGGCCCGCGCCUGAUUAGCUAGUUGGUAGGGUAACGGCCUACCAAGGCAACGAUCGGUA
rnacentral:rRNA from 1 species